AAAUUGAAGAGUUUGAUCAUGGCUCAGAUUGAACGCUGGCGGCAGGCCUAACACAUGCAAGUCGAACGGUAGCACAGAGGAGCUUGCUCCUUGGGUGACGAGUGGCGGACGGGUGAGUAAUGUCUGGGAAACUGCCCGAUGGAGGGGGAUAACUACUGGAAACGGUAGCUAAUACCGCAUAACG
rnacentral:rRNA from 1 species